AAGGAUGCGAAACAUGGACAACAGAAUAAUCAUUUGGUAUUUCAGUGGAAGAUCUUUAGAUCGAUCUUUGGACCAUGUGUAGACGUGAAUAAAUGAGAACGGAGGAUCAGAAAUAAUACGGUGAUUUAAGAGCUUUAUCAAAAACCCAAUGUAGUGGAUGAUAUUAGGAAAAGGAAGAUUUUCUGGGCUGGGCACGUAUGGUAAAAAUACGGCUCAUUUAUACGCAUGGUACACAGUGG